CCUACGGGAGGCAGCAGUGAGGAAUCUUCCACAAUGGGCGAAAGCCUGAUGGAGCGACGCCGCGUGCAGGAUGAAGGUUUUCGGAUUGUAAACUCCUGUUAAGUGGGAAGAAAGACUUUUACCAAAUACGUAAAGGGGAUGACGGUACCACUAGAGAAAGCACCGGCAAACUUCGUGCCAGCAGCCGCGGUAAU
rnacentral:rRNA from 1 species